ACUGCGUUGGCUUUGGCAGCACAAACUAAAAUUGGAACAAUACAGGAAGAUUAGCAUGGCCCCUGUGCAAGAAUGACAAGUAAAUUCAUGAAGUGUUUCAGUUUUUC
ensembl:snRNA U6 U6 spliceosomal RNA